UUGACGUUUUACUUCCUCUUUCUUUGCGGCGUGAAAUCAAUAAACUGCAGCAGCGAAGCUCAAGUAGGAAGAGAGGAGAAUCCGCGAGAAAAGCGACUUCACGAAGGAAAACGUCUGUCGCAUGUUUUAUGUAGAAAGUCAAAAAAGUAAGAAGAACGAAAAUAGUCGGUCGAAGAGCUCAUGUGAUGUGAAGUGAGACAAUCGGGGGCUGCUGCUGCUCACAAGACUGCUGCAUGUGAUAUCGAUUACAGAAAUAAGACACAGGGAUGACCACAGCCCUGCUUCGGGCCCACAUGGACGGCUAGAAAUUCAGGCUUGAAUGCAGAGAGUCCUCUUGCCAGAAGACCAAACAUGGUGCACGUCUACAACUGCCAUCCUUUCUCCUCUCAGCAGAUUGUGCAGGUGGAGAAGGAACCGGACU